AAGUCCGGCAGUGUGGGCACAUCGAAUUGCAAAUCCGAAGACGCCGUUUUUACUUCGGCCCGGACU
rnacentral:tRNA from 2 species